rnacentral:rRNA from 1 species
GACGAACGCUGGCGGCGUGCUUAACACAUGCAAGUCGAACGGAGUUAAUUUCACGAAGUUCUUCGGAAUGGACGAGGUUAACUUAGUGGCGGACGGGUGCAUAACACGUGAGUAAUCUGCCUCAAAGUGGGGAAUAACACACCGAAAGGUGUGCUAAUACCGCAUAAUGCAGCGAGAUCGCAUGUUCUUGCUGUCAAAGAUUUAUCGCUUUGAGAUGAGCUCGCGGCCGAUUAGGUAGUUGGUGAGGUAAUGGCUCACCAAGCCGACGAUCGGUAGCCGGACUGAGAGGUUGACCGGCCACAUUGGGACUGAGAUACGGUCCAAACUCCUACGGGAGGCAGCAGUGGGGAAUAUUGGGCAAUGGGCGCAAGCCUGACCCAGCAACGCCGCGUGAAGGAAGAAGGUUUUCGGAUUGUAAACUUCUGUCCUUGAUGAAAGCAGUAGAUGGUAAUCAAGGAGGAAGCCCCGGCUAACUACGUGCCAGCAGCCGACGG